rnacentral:rRNA from 1 species
GUUUGUUCAGGGGGGCUAUAUAGGCGAUUGAUUUAGCGGCCGCGAAUUCGCCUUGUGCCAGCAGCCGCGGUAAUUCCAGCUCCAAUAGCGUAUAUUAAAGUUGUUGUGGUUAAAAAGCUCGUAGUUGAACCUUGGGCCUGGCUGGCCGGUCCGCCUCACCGCGUGCACUGGUCCGGCCGGGCCUUUCCCUCUGUGGAACCCCAUACCCUUCACUGGGCGUGGCGGGGAAACAGGACAUUUACUUUGAAAAAAUUAGAGUGCUCCAGGCAGGCCUAUGCUCGAAUACAUUAGCAUGGAAUAAUAAAAUAGGACGCGCGGUUCUAUUUUGUUGGUUUAUAGGACCGCCGUAAUGAUUAAUAGGGACAGUCGGGGGCAUCAGUAUUCAACUGUCAGAGGUGAAAUUCUUGGAUCAGUUGAAGACUAACUACUGCGAAAGCAUUUGCCAAGGAUGUUUUUCAUUAAAUCAGGAACGAAAGUUAGGGGAUCGAAGACGAUCAGAUACCGUCGUAGUCUUAACCAUAAACUAUGCCGGACUAGGAUCGGGACGGUGUUAUUUCGUGACCCGUUCGGCCACCUUACGAGAAAUCGAAAGUGCUUUGGGUCUCCAGGGGUAGGAUGGGCCGCAGGCUGGAACUUAGAAGAAUUGGACGGCAGCCCACACCCGGGUUGGAGCCUGCUGGUUUUGUUUACACUCACACCAGGAAACUGACCAGCCCCAGACACAAUGAGGAGUGACGAGUGGAGAGGCUCUCUUCCUUGACCCUGGGGGGUGGGGGGGGGCAUGGCUCGUUUCUGUAAUCUGAUGGGAUGAGAAUUGGGUUGGCGUAAUAGUCGUAAUAUAUGAAAAUCAGUCGCCUAGAACUCGAAUAAUCAAGGCCAGAAUAGACUCCCGACAGAACCGCUGGGAUACCAUAAAGAAGGAGAACUGCGAGGUU